GGCGGCUAAAACCAACACGUUCCCGUCGUAGUCGCUGUGAGUAAUUGUGUGAGAACACAAUGAAACUAAGUUGGU
rnacentral:ribozyme from 1 species